UUUUAAAGCUUUUAUUUUUAAAUAAUCUCUACGCCCAACAUGGGGCUCAAACUCAACCCUGAGAUCAAGAGUCCCGUGCUCCACUGACUGGGCCAGCCAGGUGUCCCACCAUCAAAAUUUUGAAUGCUCAUUUUCAGACCAAACAAUUCCACUUCCAGGAAUUUAUCCUAAAGAUUACCAGCAUGAAUUUGCAAAGACAUGAGUAGGAUGUACAUUCACAUUGGUUGUCAGAUAAAAAAUUUAAAUGUCCUUCAGUGGAGGACAUAAAAUUUUUUUGGUAUAAAAUACACAAAUAUUUAAAAGCAUGAACUAGAUCUCCACUUGCUGUUACGGAAAGAGCUCCAAGAUACAUUAAGAACAUUAAUUUUUUUUUUUAAAGAUUUUGUGUAUUUAUUAGAGAGAGUGAGAGAGCCCAAGUAGGGGAAGCAGCAGGCAGGAGAGGGAGAGGAAGAAGCAGGCUUCCCGAUGAGCAGGAAGCCCGACUCCAGGCUCCAUCCUAGGACUCUGGGAUCAUGACCUGAGCCUAAGGCAGAUGCCAACCAACUGAGGUACCCAGGUGCCCCCAUUAAGAACAUUAAGAUGCAAUAAUAUGUAUCUGUAUCUAUGUAUAUGUUUACCUAUGUGUUACCUCUGGGUAGUUCAGCUAAAGCGAGGAUAAAGAAAAGGAUUUUACACCUCUAUCAUUUGAACAUUUGAGUUUUUACAGCAAGAAUAUUUUGCUUUUAUAAUUUUUAAACACAUUGUUUAAAUGAAGAAUAUGUAGCAAACCAAAAUAUAUAAGUUGAUGAAAACUAAAAAUAGCAAGAUACAAAAUUGUGUGCAUGUGACACGUGGUAGGCAGCUUCUAAGAUGGCCCAUAUGAUCCUUGCCUGCUGGGAUUCACGCCCUUAUGUAAUCCUUUCUCUUUGAGUGUGGGCUGGACUUACUGAUUCACUUGUAAUCACUAGGGAUGUCCCUGCUUGGUUUUUAAGACUGGCUUCCAUCUUGGGCCCCGCUCUGAUUCUCUCCCUCUCAGAUCACCACCUGCCAUGUUGUGAGGACACAUCAGCCUCUGAAAAGGACCAUGUGGUACGGAAGAAGACUAGCUUCCAGAACCACAGUCCACUACCUGGGGAAUCCAAUCCGUGAUAGCCAUCCGGAAUAUCUAUGUAUCCUGGAGAGCUGCUCCAAGUAUCACUGUCUCAGCCAGCAAGACGUGCGUGAGAGAGAGGAAGCAGAGGACAAGCUCUAAACAUUUUAUUGACAUGACUUGGCAACUGCAUCAUUUCUACUCAAAUAUCAUAGAGAGAGACGGAGAGCACAAGCAGGGGGAGCGGCAGGCAGAGGGAGCCCCGCUGAGCAAGGAGCCCCGUUGUGGAUGCGGGUCCCCUAAGGGCCUUUUCCACCUG